rnacentral:rRNA from 1 species
GCAUAUCAAUAAGCGGAGGAAAAGAAACCAACAGGGAUUGCCUCAGUAACGGCGAGUGAAGCGGCAAGAGCUCAAAUUUGAAAUCUGGCACCUUUGGUGCCCGAGUUGUAAUUUGGAGAGGAUACUUUGGGCGUGGUCACGGUGUAAGUUCCUUGGAACAGGGCGUCAUAGAGGGUGAGAAUCCCGUCUUGAACCGUCGGCCCACGCCCAUGUGAAGUUCCUUCAACGAGUCGAGUUGUUUGGGAAUGCAGCUCUAAGUGGGUGGUAAAUUUCAUCUAAAGCUAAAUAUUGGCUGGAGACCGAUAGCGAACAAGUAGAGUGAUCGAAAGGUUAAAAGCACCUUGAAAAGGGAGUUAAAUAGCACGUGAAAUUGUUGAAAGGGAAGCGCUUGCAAUCAGACUCGGUCGCGGGGGCUCAGCGGGCAUGCGUGCCUGUGUACUCCCCCGCGUUCGGGCCAGCAUCAGUUCGGGCGACCGGUCAAAGGCCCUUGGAAUGUAUCAUCCUCCGGGAUGCCUUAUAGCCAAGGGUGCAAUGCGGUCAGUCGGGACUGAGGAACGCGCUUCGGCACGGAUGCUGGCGUAAUGGUUGUAAGCGACCCGUCUUGAAACACGGACCAAGGAGUCUAACAUCCACGCGAGUGUUCGGGUGUCAAACCCGUGCGCGCAGUGAAAGCGAACGGAGGUGGGAGCCCUCUAGGGUGCACCAUCGACCGAUCCUGAAGUCUUCGGAUGGAUUUGAGUAAGAGCGUGGCUGUUGGGACCCGAAAGAUGGUGAACUAUGCCUGAAUAGGGUGAAGCCAGAGGAAACUCUGGUGGAGGCUCGCAGCGGUUCUGACGUGCAAAUCGAUCGUCAAAUUUGGGUAUAGGGGGCGAAAGACUAAUCGAACCAUCUGGUAGCUGGUUCCUGCCGAAG